CCUGGCACGCCGGCCCUCCCCUCUCCUCCAGCCAUCUUCUCCUGUGAAUGGGCUUCUUCAGCCUGCUUGAGUUGACAGAAUCAUACGUGGCACCAAUUACCCCGGUCUGGGCCCGUCAGCUGGAGGAGAGCAGAGCCGGAGGAAGUCAAAAGGACGGCUGAGCGUCUCCUCUGUGGGGUCGGAGGCUGAUGCGCUGACGGGGACACACAUCUCUGAUCCGGAGAGUCACUGUGUGUGUGUGUGUGUGUGUGUGUCGCUGACAUUAAGCCGAUACGGAGGUCGACGUUACCACGUUAGCAUUGCCAUUUUUAGCUUUUAGCGUUGCCAUUCACAUAUACCUGUAACAUGUCAGACCGAACCCUACGAGAAAACAAGAGCAGAUUUGAAGUGUUGGAGAUUAUGGAAAUGUCUAAACUCAAACUGAUCAAAGUGCAAUGUUUGAAUUGGAUUCCGCCCUAACGUCCAUAAAC
ensembl:lncRNA